UACAGAGGGGGCAAGCGUUGUUCGGAAUUACUGGGCGUAAAGGGCGCGUAGGCGGCCAACUAAGUCGGAUGUGAAAUCCCCAGGCUCAACUUGGGAACUGCAUCCGAUACUGGAUGGCUUGAAUUCGGGAGAGGGAUGCAGAAUUCCAGGUGUAGCGGUGAAAUGCGUAGAUAUCUGGAGGAAUACCGGUGGCGAAGGCGGCAUCCUGGACCGACAUUGACGCUGAACGGCGAAAGCUAGGGGAGCAAACGGG
rnacentral:rRNA from 1 species